AGCAGCCAGGGCAGAAUACUGUUUUUGAAACCCAUAAAACAAAAUACAUAGGAUUAAAAAAGACAAGAGCUACACUGAAUAUUGAAACAAUUAUCAAAUAUUUUUAAAAUUUGUGAUUUAGUAGCAUACACUCUUUUUUUUUUAACACUGAAUAACAAUGAUCCAAAACCACCACGAUUUCACAGGUGCAGUAAGCAUCAGCAGUAUCUCAAGAUACUGCAGCAACUGUGGCAGGAUAUGGAAAUUGCUGUGAUUUCUAUUAGUGAUGAAGUCCCAGCUACUGCUAACAGGCCUCUGGUUUGUUGCUGACACUUAGAAUUGAUGGAAAUGUUAUAUUUCCCUCAGAGGCUAGUGAAAAUAUAGGUGGGUUUUUUUCCUGUCCAAGUUCAUGGCCCUUUGGGUCAUAGAUUCCAAAUUAAGAAUUCCUGCUCGAGAGUGACCUUCCCAGCCUGACUGCAUGGCAGCUGUCAUUGUUUACCAAGCUCUGAGCACGGAAAGAUGAAAGUAGUGGCUAAUGUUGGCUGACCCCUUACUGAGUUCCCAGUGAUACCGGAGGCUAGGAUUCAGCAGUGAAAAAAGCCAGUUUCUCCCCACCUGGGGCUUACAGUCUAUCUAGGGAGGGAAGACUGAUGAAUGAAUACAUAAAGAAGAUGAUUCCAAAGUGGUAGGCAUGCCCUGGUUGGUGUGGCUCCAUUGCUUGGAGUUGGUUGCAGUGUCUGGUUCCUGUAAACCAGAAGGUCGUGGGUUCCAUUCCCAGUGCUGCAUAAACCUAGGUUGCAGGUUCAGUCCCUAGUCAGGGUGUGUAUGGAAGGCAACCCAAUCAAUGUUUCUUUCUCACAGCAAUGUUUCUCUCCUCUCCCUCCCUUCCCCUCUCUCUGAAAAUCAAUAGGCAUGUCCUCGGGUGAGGACAAAAAAAUAACAACAAAGUGGUAGGCGAUAUGAAGUCUGAUUGGUAGGGGCAGUGUAAUAGGCUGCACUGGAAGAGAUAACAAGAGGGUCUGUUUUCCAGGGAAGGCUUCUCUGAGGACAUGACGCUUGUUCUGAGACCUGAUGAUGAGAGAGUGGUGCAGAGAUGUGGAGGAAGGGUGUUCCCAGUUGUGUUCGGUAUUUCAGCUGUAGGCAUCUUUGCCACAAACAUUUUUGCCGCAUUUUUGUUGCAUAACUAAUUGACCAUAAGGCCAUUU